rnacentral:pre_miRNA from 1 species
GAUGUACUCCCUCCAUCCGGAAAUACUUGUCACCAAAAUGGAUGAAAAUGGAUGUAUCUACAACUAAAAUACAUCUAGAUACAUCCAUUUCAAUGACAAGUAUUUCCGGACGGAGGGAGUAUGAG